GAUGAACGCUGGCGGCGUGCCUAAUACAUGCAAGUCGAGCGAACAGAUGAGGAGCUUGCUCCUCUGACGUUAGCGGCGGACGGGUGAGUAACACGUGGAUAACCUACCUAUAAGACUGGGAUAACUUCGGGAAACCGGAGCUAAUACCGGAUAAUAUAUUGAACCGCAUGGUUCAAUAGUGAAAGACGGUUUUGCUGUCACUUAUAGAUGUAUCCGCGCCGCAUUAGCUAGUUGGUAAGGUAACGGCUUACCAAGGCGACGAUGCGUAGCCGACCUGAGAGGGUGAUCGGCCACACUGGAACUGAGACACGGUCCAGACUCCUACGGGAGGCAGCAGUAGGGAAUCUUCCGCAAUGGGCGAAAGCCUGACGGAGCAACGCCGCGUGAGUGAUGAAGGUCUUCGGAUCGUAAAACUCUGUUAUUAGGGAAGAACAAAUGUGUAAGUAACUAUGCACGUCUUGACGGUACCUAAUCAGAAAGCCACGGCUAACUACGUG
rnacentral:rRNA from 1 species